rnacentral:rRNA from 1 species
UACGAAGGGGGCUAGCGUUGUUCGGAAUUACUGGGCGUAAAGCGCACGUAGGCGGAUAUUUAAGUCAGGGGUGAAAUCCCAGAGCUCAACUCUAGAACUGCCUUUGAUACUGGGUAUCUCGAGUAUGGAAGAGGUGAGUGGAAUUCCGAGUGUAGAGGUGAAAUUCGUAGAUAUUCGGAGGAACACCAGUGGCGAAGGCGGCUCACUGGUCCAUUACUGACGCUGAGGUGCGAAAGCGUGGGGAGCAAACAGG